AAGCGGGACGUUCGGCUUGUGAGCGGGAACUUCUCGGUCGUGCACAGAAAAAGAACGAUUUUAAAAUGGGUGAUGUUGAGAAGGGCAAGAAGAUUUUUGUUCAGAAAUGUGCCCAGUGCCAUACUGUGGAAAAGGGAGGGAAGCACAAGACUGGGCCAAACCUCCAUGGUCUGUUUGGACGAAAGACAGGUCAGGCUGCUGGAUUCUCUUACACAGAUGCCAACAAAAACAAAGGUAUCACCUGGGGAGAGGAGACGCUGAUAGAAUACUUGGAGAAUCCCAAGAAGUACAUCCCUGGAACCAAGAUGAUCUUUGCUGGCAUUAAGAAGAAGGGAGAGAGGGAGGACUUGAUAGCUUAUCUCAAAAAAGCUACCAAUGAGUAAUAGUUGGCCACUGCCUUAUUUAUUAUGAAACAGAAGUGUCUCAUGACUUUUUAUGUGUACCAUAUUUAAAUUGAUCUCAUACACUAGAAUUCAGAUCAUGAAUGGCUGAUGGAAUAAUUCUGUUGGACAGUCCUGAUUUAAAUAAGAUUGGUCUGUGGCUAAACAAAUAUGGUCAGCAUUUUUAAUUUUGAUAGUAAUUCUGGUUCAACAAGUACUAUCACUUUUCCCAUUCUAAAGAGAUGAUUGAACUUGAAUAAGGAACAUGAAACUUUUUAGGGAGAUGGUGCAUUCCUUCUCAAAACCUGUAAGAGAUUGGUUUUAUAUUUAGAUUUCUAUAACUGGUUAUAUUAAUAUAUUUAAAUACUGAAAAGGUCCCUUCACUGUCUCAUAGAACAGAGGAGGAUUCACAUGUGUUUCAAGUUGUGUUCAUUAGCCUGUUAAGGCAAGGAUUGAAAAUACACUGACAAAGUCCACUUUA